GCGCCUCCACCCUUUGUGAACCAAACUUGUUGCUUCGGGGGCGACCCUGCCGACGACUUCGUCGCCGGGCCCCGGAGCUUCUAAACACUGCAUCUUUGCGUCGGAGUUUAAAACAAAUUAAACAAAACUUUCAACAACGGAUCUCUUGGUUCUGGCAUCGAUGAAGAACGCAGCGAAAUGCGAUAAGUAAUGUGAAUUGCAGAAUUCAGUGAAUCAUCGAAUCUUUGAACGCACAUUGCGCCCUUUGGUAUUCCGAAGGGCAUGCCUGUUCGAGCGUCAUUUCACCACUCAAGCCUGGCUUGGUAUUGGGCGUCGCGGUUUUCCGCGCGCCUUAAAGUCUUCCGGCUGAGCUGUCCGUCUCUAAGCGUUGUGGAUUUUUCAAUUCGCUUCGGAGUGCGGAUGGCCGCGGCCGUUAAAUCUUUAUUCAAAGG
rnacentral:sRNA from 1 species